rnacentral:rRNA from 1 species
UACGUAGGGGGCUAGCGUUGUCCGGAAUCAUUGGGCGUCAAGAGCGUGUAGGCGGUCCGGUAAGUCCGUUGUGAAAGUCAGGGGCUCAACCCUUGAAUGCCGGCGGAUACUGUCGGGCUAGAGUCCGGAAGAGGCGAGUGGAAUUCCCGGUGUAGCGGUGAAAUGCGCAGAUAUCGGGAGGAACACCGGUGGCGAAGGCGGAUCUCUGGGCCUGUCCUGACGCUGAGGCGCGAAAGCUAGGGGAGCGAACAGG